GACGAACGCUGGCGGCGUGCCUAAUACAUGCAAGUCGAGCGCAGGAAACUGACGGAACUCUUCGGAGGGAAGGCAGUGGAAUGAGCGGCGGACGGGUGAGUAACACGUAGGGAACCUGCCUCAAGGAUUGGGAUAACUCCGAGAAAUCGGAGCUAAUACCGGAUAGUUCAACGGACCGCAUGGUCCGCGGAUGAAAGGCGCUUCGGCGUCACCUUGAGAUGGCCUUGCGGUGCAUUAGCUAGUUGGUGGGGUAACGGCCCACCAAGGCGACGAUGCAUAGCCGACCUGAGAGGGUGAUCGGCCACACUGGGACUGAGACACGGCCCAGACUCCUACGGGAGGCAGCAGUAGGGAAUCUUCCACAAUGGACGAAAGUCUGAUGGAGCAACGCCGCGUGAGUGAUGAAGGUUUUCGGAUCGUAAAACUCUGUUGUAAGGGAAGAACACGUACGAGAGGGAAUGCUCGUACCUUGACGGUACCUUACGAGAAAGCCACGGCUAACUACGUGCCAGCAGCCGCCGUAA
rnacentral:rRNA from 1 species